UGCAGUCGAGCGGAACAGAUAAAGAGCUUGCUCCUUUGAGAUUAGCGGCGGACGGGUGAGUAACGUCUGGGUAACCGACCUAUAAGACUGGGAUAACUUCGGGAAACCGGAGCUAAUACCGGAUAACAUUUAAAACCGCAUGGGUCUAACUUGAGGCCUCUUGCCGCUAUCUGUUAUCAAUGGACCCUCGCCAUAUUAUGUAGUUGCGAAUGUACCAGGUUACCAUCGCUACCAGACCUAACCGAACUGCCAGGGUGAUCGGACACGCUGGAACUGAGACACUCCUACGACUCCUACGGGAGGCAAAUAUUGGGAAUCUUCCGCAAUGCUGAAAAGCCUGACGGAGCAGCGCCGCGUGACCUUGAAGGGUUUCGGCUCUUAAAACUCUGUUAUUAGGGAAGAACAUAUGUGUAAGUAACUGUGCACAUCUUGACGGAACAUAAUCCGAAUACCUCCGCUACCUACGUGCCAGCAACCGCGAUAAUGCGUACGUGGCAAGCGUUAUCCGGAAUUAUUGGGCGUAAAGCGCGCGUGUGCGGUUUCUUAAGUCUGAUGUGAAAUCCCACUGCUCACUCGUGUCGGGUCUUUGGAAACUGAGAAACUUGAGUGCAGAAGAAAUUCCUGGUGUUCCAUGUGUAUGCGGUGAAGAUGCUGCAGAGAUAUGCGAGUGAACAACAGUGGCCCACCGGCGACUUUCUGUGUCUGCUACCUGAGCGCUGAUGUGCGAGAGCGUGCAGGA
rnacentral:rRNA from 1 species